rnacentral:lncRNA from 1 species
UGCAACAAGAGGCUGUCACAACGACAGCAAACCGGAUUUAUUAACAUUUAUUUGUGUCCUGGCAAUAUCACAAGAACCAUUACUGAUGAAUGGUGAAAGUGAAAAUCGUCAAUAUCAAAUUUGACCUCCAUUUUGUCAUCAGUAUCAACAUAUUAAAAUUUGAAAAGCUUAGAUUGAAAGGUUCAUGAGUAAAUGCAACAACAUGAAUGGAAACACCAUUUUACGAUCUUUCAAGAACCAUAACUCCUGAACGGUAAAAGUCAAAAUCGUCAUUAUUGAACUUGACCUCUAUUUUGUCAUCAGUAACAUCAUAUUAAAAUUUUAAAAGCUUUGGUUAAAUGGUUCAUGAGAAAAUGCACGGACACGACGGGAAACACCAUUUU